rnacentral:piRNA from 1 species
UCUUCUCUCAUAGAUCUGCGCUUCACUGG